UACGUAGGGUGCGAGCGUUAAUCGGAAUUACUGGGCGUAAAGCGUGCGCAGGCGGUUUUGUAAGCCAGAUGUGAAAUCCCCGGGCUCAACCUGGGAACUGCAUUUGGGACUACAAGGCUAGAGUGUGUCAGAGGGGGGUAGAAUUCCACGUGUAGCAGUGAAAUGCGUAGAUAUGUGGAGGAACAUCAGUGGCGAAGGCGCCUUCCUGGCUUAAAACUGACACUGUGGCGCGAAAGCGUGGGUAGCAAACAGG
rnacentral:rRNA from 1 species